CCUACGGGAGGCAGCAGUGAGGAAUAUUGGUCAAUGGGCGCGAGCCUGAACCAGCCAAGUAGCGUGAAGGAUGACUGCCCUACGGGUUGUAAACUUCUUUUAUAAAGGAAUAAAGUGAGGCACGUGUGCCUUUUUGUAUGUACUUUAUGUAUAAGGAUCGGCUAACUCCGUGCCAGCAGCCGCGGUCAUACGGAGGAAGCGAGCGUGAUCAGGAUUUAUUGGGUUUAAAGGGAGCGUAGAUGGGUUGUUAAGUCAGUUGUGAAAGUUUGCGGCUCAACCGUAAAAUUGCAAUUGAUACUAGCAGUCGAGAGUACAGUUGAGGUAGGCGGAAUGCGUGGGGUAGCGGGGAAAUGCGUAGAUAUCACGAAGAACUCC
rnacentral:rRNA from 1 species